rnacentral:SRP_RNA from 1 species
GCCGUGCGCGGUGGCCCAAGUCACCCGGAGGCUGAGGUUUGGCUCAUUGUGUGAGCUGAGGCGCUCCGUGUCGAACGGGUGUCCGCACUAAAUUCAGUAUCAAUAUAGUGCUCCUGGGGGAGCCCGGGCCCACCAGCUCGUCUGAGGGCUGCGCUGGCCCAGGUCGGAAACGAAGCAGGUCAAAUCCCCGGUGCCGUCCAGUAGUGGGAUAGCGUCUGUGAGUAGACUCUGCAGAGUAUCCUUCUCAAGACAUU